rnacentral:rRNA from 1 species
CCUACGGGGGGCAGCAGUGGGGAAUAUUGCACAAUGGGGGAAACCCUGAUGCAGCGACGCCGCGUGAGUGAAGAAGUAUUUCGGUAUGUAAAGCUCUAUCAGCAGGGAAGAAAAUGACGGUACCUGAUUAAGAAGCCCCGGCUAACUACGUGCCAGCAGCCGCGGGAAUACGUAGGGGGCAAGCGUUAUCCGGAUUUACUGGGUGUAAAGGGAGCGUAGACGGCAGCACAAGUCUGGAGUGAAAUGCCGGGGCUUAACCCCAGGACUGCUUUGGAAACUGUGCAGCUAGAGUGCAGGAGAGGUAAGUGGAAUUCCGAGUGUAGCGGUGAAAUGCGUAGAUAUUAGGAAGAACACCAGUGGCGAAGGCGGCUUACUGGACUGUAACUGACGUUGAGGCUCGAAAGCGUGGGGAGCAAACAGGAUUAGAUACCCGAGUAGUC